UACGUAGGGGUCAAGCGUUGUCCGGAAUCAUUGGGCGUAAAGAGCGUGUAGGUGGCUCGGUAAGUCCGCUGUGAAAGUCCAGGGCUCAACCCUGGAAAGCCGGUGGAAACUGUCGAGCUCGAGUCCGGAAGAGGCGAGUGGAACUCCUGGUGUAGUGGUGAAAUGCGCAGAUAUCAGGAGGAACACCAAUGGCGAAGGCAGCUCGCUGGGACGGUACUGACACUGAGACGCGAAAGCGUGGGGAGCAAACAGG
rnacentral:rRNA from 1 species